rnacentral:rRNA from 1 species
AUUGAACGCUGGCGGCAGGCCUAACACAUGCAAGUCGGACGGUAGCACAGAGGAGCUUGCUCCUUGGGUGACGAGUGGCGGACGGGUGAGUAAUGUCUGGGGAUCUGCCCGAUAGAGGGGGAUAACCACUGGAAACGGUGGCUAAUACCGCAUAACGUCGCAAGACCAAAGAGGGGGACCUUCGGGCCUCUCACUAUCGGAUGAACCCAGAUGGGAUUAGCUAGUAGGCGGGGUAAUGGCCCACCUAGGCGACGAUCCCUAGCUGGUCUGAGAGGAUGACCAGCCACACGGGAACUGAGACACGGUCCAGGCUCCUACGGGAUGCAGCAGUGGGGAAUAGUGCACAAUGGGCGCAAGCCUGAUGCAGCCAUGCCGCGUGUAUGAAGAAGGCCUUCGGGUUGCAAAGUACUUUCAGCGGGGAGGAAGGCGGUGAGGUUAAUAACCUCGCCGAUUGACGUUACCCGCAGAAGAAGCACCGGCUAACUCCGUGCCAGCCGCCGCGGUAA